rnacentral:tRNA from 3 species
GGACCUUUAGCUCAGUUGGUUAGAGCAGACGGCUCAUAACCGUCCGGUCGUAGGUUCGAGCAUGUGGUUUA